UACGAAGGGGGCUAGCGUUGUUCGGAAUCACUGGGCGUAAAGCGCACGUAGGCGGCUCGUUAAGUCGGGGGUGAAAUCCCGAGGCUCAACCUCGGAACUGCCUUCGAUACUGGCGAUCUUUGAGUCCGGGAGAGGUGAGUGGAACUCCGAGUGUAGAGGUGAAAUUCGUAGAUAUUCGGAAGAACACCAGUGGCGAAGGCGGCUCACUGGCCCGGUACCGACGCUGAGGUGCGAAAGCGUGGGGAGCAAACAGG
rnacentral:rRNA from 1 species